CACCCCGGAGUCCCAGGAGGCAUGCAGCCAGGAGCUCUUCUCAAGCCAGGAGGAGGCUAGCCAGUCGCAGCAGCAGGAAGUUGCUGGUGAGGAAGAAACUGAGGAGCGUGCUUGGGUGACCUUGACUAAUGCAGCCGGAUCACCGGCCUCACGUCGAUUGCAGAACUUGAGAAGAAAUCCCAGAAAAUCAAAAGAAGAAUUGAUCAAAUCAGUUAUGAAUCACUACAACAGAGAAAGUAGGAAGACACAGGAAUGGAGAGAGAAAAUGUAUGAAUGGAGAGAGAAAAUGCAUGAGUGGAGGCAAACAGAAAGCAGGAGAAAGGAAUUGGCUAGCAAAAAACCCUCAAAGUAGAUGAUAAGCCUCCUGGCUCGCCAAACUGAGUCUUUCGAGUCUCUCGUAGCCAUGCAGGCAUAUAUGUACCGUGGUAACCCACAGCCCUCCCAAAGCUCUCUUUCUUGUUCCCCAGUAUUUGCACAAAACAACUAUCUCCAGCAGCCAGUUUCUUAUUACUCCCAUCUGCCCCCAACACCUGUACGAUCACCUACCAGCCCUGAUAACUAUAAUUCUUACCCUGUGCACUCCACCCCCAUUAUCCUGCAGCAUAGUAAUCCUGAAGUUCAGCAGACAUUGAACAGUAUUCCAAAUAGGACAUAUUCAAACCUCUGAAUGUACAGUCCACCACCCUAACCCCCCUUGCCUUUUAUGUACUGUAUGUUGAAUAAAGGAUUUUAUGUCUUUUUCAA